rnacentral:tRNA from 1 species
GAAAUAAGAUAUAUCAAAAUUAAGCUUCUAACUUAAAUUUUUAGUGGUUAAAAUCCAUUAUUAUUUCU